UGCACCAGCAGGGGGACACAGCGACAUUCCCUCCCAUGAGUUGACAGGAUGUCCACUGCACUACCCAGCGUCAUGCUCAUCUGUAGGAGACAACAAGGAGAUGGACUGUAGCCCGGUUUCAGCUAAACCAGCUCCUGACCCUGGACUGGGUUCAUCCAUGUCAUCUGCACGGAGAACAUGGAGGUUUAUGCAGGAGACACAGAGGAGACCUCUGUCUUUGAUGUGGAUACUUCAGAGCCAUCAUCUGCUUCUUUGCCAAAGAGCUGCAUGAUGCAUGAUCGGAACUGUAAGACAUAGAUGACUGGGUUCCAGAUGGUGGCGCUCUUGGCAAAGUAUGCAGGCAUGGAAGCAGCCAGAGGAUGGAAGGCAUACCCAGGAUUAGCCGCAGCAAAGCAGGCGAAAAAGGUGUAAGGUCCCCAGCAGAAACAAUAUGCAAAGAUCAUGAUAACAACCAUCCUGGAUACUUCUCUCUCAGCUUUCUGUGUUGACUCUGAUUCCUUCUGCUGCAUGGCAACCUGCGGUCGACAAUCCAACACAGUGUGAGAUUCUGCCAGACUGUGGUCUAUACCAGGCUAUAUAAAGUACAGAACUGCAGGUAAGAUAACUUACAGCACGGACAGCCAUCCAGACUGCAAGGUAGCAAAAGAUGAUGAUAGCCAGAGGAAUGAAACAACAUGUAAUCAUAAGAACAAUCAUGUAGGACUGGACUCCAGGAUCUUCACUUCCACUGAAUACAUCAGGUCCACAGGAAGUCUUAAGUCCAUGAGGCCAGUACCUGAUGCAAGAAAAUGUUUGGUUUACAUUCCCACUGAUAAAUUCACAACUCAGGUUUUAGAAGAUAUAAAACACCAGGCUACCUGCUCCAUCCGAAGACGGGGGGAGCACACCAGAUUGCCGACCAGAUCCAGGAGAACGCUAUUCCGCCAAUGGCCCACUUUUCAUCAAACUUGACAUUUCCAAAAGGUUUGCACACAACUACCCAUCUCUCCCAUGAGAUGAUAGUCAGAGACCAAAGACCAGUGAUGCCUGUGUAAGAAAUCAGGAUACUCAGUAAAUGUGUUUAAUUCACACCCUGAUAAUGAAUGUCUUGACAAACUGUUCCUAAAUACUUUAACAUCAAAGAUGAAAAACUGUGACCACUUACCACAAGUUGCGACAGUGUAGCCCUCAAAGACGCACAUUGGGUGUCCCAGAAUGAAGUAGCCAAAAAACUGGUUGCAUACACUGAUGGUGCUGGCAAGAAGUGUCUCUGCGAGAUCAGCAAUGGCAAGAUUGACCAAGAUCCAGUUCAGAGGGUGACGGAGUUUCUUGAACUUUGCUGUGGCCACCAAGACCAGACCAUUGGUGACGGUUGAUAAGACGACCACCACAAACAUCCAGAGUGUUGCGAGGUUGUAAGUCCACCGAGGAGCAAUGUGGUAAUUGGGACCCUCAAAGGGAUCUGGGGAAAAAACAAAACAAACAGUCUCAAGUGGCACAAUUUAGAAUCUCAUGUGGUCUCACAAGUUCACAUUGUCUUAUUUUGUACAGUAUUGGAAGCAAGACAAUACACUACUUCCUCAUAGUUAAAUAAGACCAGAUAAUUGUUAUAAUUUUGGAUACAAUACUGUACAUUUACAGUAUUGACAGACAGAAUGUUAAACUUGGUCUUUUGGAAAAUGAGAAUUUAUAUUAUGCAAUGGUAUAAAAAUAUGCAGUAUCUUAACAGAUGUCCUAAAUCUAGUUUAAAAAAGGAAAACAAAAAUUGG